CCUACGGGAGGCAGCAGUGAGGAAUAUUGGUCAAUGGACGCAAGUCUGAACCAGCCAUGCCGCGUGCAGGAAGACGGCCCUAUGAGUUGUAAACUGCUUUUGUACGAGGGUAAACGCAGAUACGCGUACCGGUCUGCAAGUACCGUACGAAUAAGGAUCGGCUAACUCCGUGCCAGCAGCCGCGGUAAUACGGAGGAUUCGAGCGUUAUCCGGAUUUAUUGGGUUUAAAGGGUGCGUAGGCGGUCGGAUAAGUCAGAGGUGAAAGCCCGAGGCUCAACCUCGGAAUUGCCGUUGAUACUGGCAGCCUAGAGAGUAGUAGAGGUAGGCGGAAUGUGUGGUGUAGCGGUGAAAUGCUUAGAGAUCAUGCAGAACGCCGAUUGCGAAGGCAGCUUGCCGGACUGCUACUGACGUUGAGGCACGAAAGCGUGGGGAGCAAACAGGAUUAGAUACCCGUGUAGUC
rnacentral:rRNA from 1 species